UUUAACAAUUUAACCAAAACAAUGAUAACUUUUUCUUCAGCUGAAAAAAAAUUCUACAUUUGGAGUAUCA
rnacentral:tRNA from 1 species